rnacentral:rRNA from 1 species
CAAUAGCGUAUAUUAAAGUUGUUGCAGUUAAAAAGCUCGUAGUUGGAUUUCUGGUUGAAGCGACCGGUCGGGCGUUGAUUCGUCUGCACUGGAGUCGGUUUUGGCCAUCCUCUAGGAAAGUGCGUCUGGUAUUAAGUUAUCGGGCGUAUGAUCCUGGUCUUUUACUGUGAAAAAAUUAGAGUGUUUAAAGCAGGCCUUCGCCUUGAAUACAUUAGCAUGGAAUAAUAAGAUAGGACUUUGGUCUAUUUUGUUGGUUUGCAGACCGAAGUAAUGAUUAAUAGGGAUAGUUUGGGGUAUUUAUAUUCCGAUGUCAGAGGUGAAAUUCUUAGAUUUUCGGAAGAUAAACUUAUGCGAAAGCAUUUACCAAGGAUGUUUUCAUUA